rnacentral:rRNA from 1 species
UACGAGGGGUGCAAGCGUUGCUCGGAAUUAUUGGGCGUAAAGGGUAGGUAGGUGGUCUCAUUUGUCUGGGGUGAAAGCCUUGAGCUUAACUCAAGAAGUGCCCCGGAAACGGUGAAACUGGAGUCCUGGAGAGGGUCGUGGAAUUCCCGGUGUAGCGGUGAAAUGCGUAGAGAUCGGGAGGAACACCAGAGGCGAAGGCGGCGACCUGGACAGGCACUGACACUCAACUACGAAAGCGUGGGGAGCAAACAGG